rnacentral:rRNA from 1 species
AUUGAACGCUGGCGGCAUGCCUUACACAUGCAAGUCGAACGGUAACAGGUCUUCGGAUGCUGACGAGUGGCGAACGGGUGAGUAAUACAUCGGAACGUGCCCGAGAGUGGGGGAUAACGAAGCGAAAGCUUUGCUAAUACCGCAUACGAUCCCAGGAUGAAAGCAGGGGACCGCAAGGCCUUGCGCUCACUGAGCGGCCGAUGGCAGAUUAGGUAGUUGGUGGGAUAAAAGCUUACCAAGCCGACGAUCUGUAGCUGGUCUGAGAGGACAACCAGCCACACUGGGACUGAGACACGGCCCAGACUCCUACGGGAGGCAACAGUGGGGAAUUUUGGACAAUGGGCGCAAGCCUGAUCCAGCCAUGCCGCGUGCAGGAUGAAGGCCUUCGGGUUGUAAACUGCUUUUGUACGGAACGAAAAGACUCCUUCUAAUAAAGGGGGUCCAUGACGGUACCGUAAGAAUAAGCACCGGCUAACUACGUGCCAGCCGCCGCCGUAAAAC